CCUGGUGGUGCACGUCCCCAACCUUAUGUGGAUUUCCUAAAUUCUGCAAAAAAGGUUUGGAAGCUGAUCAAUCAAUACUGGAACUCCCUCUUCUCCAGAAGAGACAUCCUGGCCUCCAUGCAGAGGAAUGUGUGGAUGGACAUAUAUUUAAGGAAGACACUAAACCAGAAAAUACUACAUUACACCCUCUUAAAAGACUUCUAAGAUUGUUGUCAUGCCUACCACAGACAUUCAGAUGAUGUGUAUUGUUGAUUGUGAUUUCAUGUUUGGACCUGAUGAAGGAGUUUGAAGUCUCCAGAGCAGCAAAGAGAGUGGGGAGUAGAACUCAUCAUCUUUAGGUCACUCAUCAUCG
rnacentral:lncRNA from 1 species